CUUCAGACACACCAGAAGAGGGCAUCGGACUCCAUCACAGAUGGUUGUGAGCCAACAUGUGGUUGCUGGGAUUUGAACUCAGGACCUCUGGAAGAGCAGUCAGUGCUCUUAACCGCUGAGCCGUCUCUCCAGCCCCCCGAUAGAUACAUCUUACAGCACCACAUUCCACUUGCAGUGCUCCCAGUGCAUGGGCAUCUUACAUGCAAAGGCCAUGCAGUAUCACCAAAGCAGCAACUGCUCCAGUGCUGCUCGGUUAAACUCAAAGUCUAUUUGGACUCAAUGUAAACUCUCAGCUGGGAAUUCCCCGCCCCCCCACCCCACCCCGAACAGAAACAAGCUCCACCCUUCCGACCACAGAGGCAUGCCAGACACCGUCAGGUAGCUCUCUACCUAGCACCCGAAGCAGACACUGGCAUGGUGUGUGGGAAACACCAGGUAAGGCAGCAGUCAGAGCCAUGGGGUACUAGACGUAUUCAAACAACUUCAACCCUUACUGUCCUGAACUUGGUCAAGUGAGUCGGGCAAACCAUUACAUGCCCCAUGGCCCCUUUCCUGUUGUCUCAGUAUAAAGUAUGUGGCUUCUUGCUCAGCUUCCUCCCGCUCCACUCUGAAACAGGCUCUCACUAUGCAGCUUCAGUUGGCUUUGAACGAACUCUCUGUGUAGAUCAGGCUGGCCCCAAGCUCUCAGAAACACACACCUGCUUCUGUAUUCAAAGUAUGGAGAAGCUGGCUCUGGCUGUCUGUGAGGAUGCAGUCUCUGGGCUCCCUAGGUCCUGUGUCCUGCUUUGCCUUUGCUCUCCAUUCUCACUCUAAACUUGUCCAAGGAAGGUCAGCUACGCUGCCUGGAAACUUCCUCUAGGAGACUGAACUACCAUAUAAGACAGCAUCUCAGGGCUCGUGCAAAAGAGAAAAACCAUUUCGAAGCAACACAUUUCCUCCUUUCCCAUCCUUCAGGAAAGCUCGGCGGCCAGCCUUCUCUGUGUGCACAGAGAAUGUCUGUGCUCUGGCUCCCCACCAUGAUACUGAAGCAGCAGCCCUCUCUGAGCAUUGCCUGAAGCAUUCUGCAGCUUUUCCAAACUUGUCCAAAUUCUACUUCCAGAUGUGCGGGAACCAAUCAAGAGGAUACUCCACCAACAACUUCACCUCACAGCACAACUUCCGAGUUCUUGGACUGUCUGUGACAAAAGUUCUAAGCAAGACAGCUUAAGUGCCAGUGUGUGGACUAGGGCAGAUCAGAAGAUGGCCACCAGGAGCACCUGAGACAGCUGGCUCUUCCCUUUGUCCCUGUUCACGGCCCCUGCUCUCCGAAGUCAGACAGGGCUCCCUUUGUUAGUGUCCCACAGUAGGAAUCUGUUCACAGGUUCCAGCAGGGGGCCCCACCGACCUCCAAGGUGAAUCUCACACAGCCAAGUGCACCAUGAAUCCUGACUCACAUAUCAGAAGGCACCGUAGACAUGAGCCCUUGCAAGACAGGCCAAGGGGAGAGAGAAGAACAUAAAGAACGGACAAAGCUAAAAGCCAUCUUACCCUGAAAUAUCCACACAUUUUGGCCAAUUUUCAUUUUGAUGUUUAAAAAUAAACUAUGUACAUAUUUCAUGUUUACAGACUGGUUAUUUUUACGUGGAUUUUAAACAAGGAACUAAUCAUUGCAAUAGUCUUUUUGUGGAAACUUUUACUAAUCCAACUACUGAAAUCCCUACAUAUUCACUUCACUAAAUGUUGUCUACAGUUAAUGUAAAGUUCAUGUUAGCAUGCUGCUGGUGCAGGAGUAAUUUUUCAAAGUCAUAGAGACAUAAAUGAACUUUAAAAUUUAAAACAUAAAACCACAAUUGAAAUGUAAAAUAUAAUAAAUAGUGAAAACCCAUAAAAAAAGCUAAUGGUACAAAACUGAGAAACUUGAGCCAUUAAGAGCAUUUAAGAAGCAGUACAUAGCUCUGGUGAAGGCACUUGCCCCCAGCAAGAUGAGCAGAAGGUUGCAAAAGAUGAACACCAAGACUGUUAUUUACUGAAGAACCCUGUACCUAGGUAUGGUGUGGCCUGGCCCUUAGCGCACAUCUUUAAUCCCAAACAAUGAUGGAAAAGUUAGUUUGUAGAAGGAAGCAGCCAUGUUUGAAAGUGAUGUCUAAUUGAGUGCCAAAAUGACGAAUCAGAGAAUGAUUUGACAGAAUAGGAUAUGCCCAACUCUGAGAAGAGUGAGAGGAAACGGAAGCUACCUGAGGAGCAGUGCAGAAAGGAGGAAGGAGGCAGUUUUACAGGGACAGCUGUACAGAGAUGAGUUGAAAAGAGAACACACUAGACACAGCUGAAGACAGAAUGAACCAGAAAACAAGGAGCCAGAAGAUUAGAACACACUGCCAAAAUCAGUGUGCGGUCACGCAGAGCAACUCAGUCAGAAGCAGAGGGGGGGGGGGGGGGGGGGACGGGCAGGCCAGAGUGGAUGAGUUAGUGUGGAAGGGAGUUUUGAGUCAGAACAGCUGAGCUGAACCAGCCAGCCGGAGUUCAGAAAGAACUAGAAGGGAGAGCUUAUGCAGCAGGAAGUCAGAGGCUGAGAACACCCUAGGCCCAGGUUAUUAGACUGAGGCAGUGAGCUUCAGAGAAGACAAUUAUAUCAGGCAAAUAAAAACUAAGUUUACGGGGCUGGGGAUUUAGCUCAGUGGUAGAGCGCUUGCCUAGCAAGCUCAAGGCCCUGGGUUCGGUCCCCAGAUCCAAAAAAAAAAAAAAAAAAAAAAAAAAAAAAAGAAAGAAAAAAGAAAAAAACUAAGUUUACAUCAGAUUUCAAUUCUUAGGUCCCACAAUGUAGAAGGAAAGAACAAAUUCUCACAAACUAUCCUCUGACAGCCACACACACAGCACUGCACACUCACACAAAUAAAUACAAUGUAAAAAAGAUAGGAACAGUGAGAGCAGAAUAAAAUGUCUGACUAGCCUACAGAAACUCCAGAGAAUUAUAUGAAGUCAAACAGGUUUGCAAUUUCACUUCCCUGACAAAGAGCACAGCAGGGGGUUUUCUGAGUCGCAGUCUGAGGCAGGUUCUAGGAACCUGAACCACCUCCAUCUCAGCCAACCGGCCAACCGCUUACAGGCGAUUAAGGUCUCGCAUUUCCCUACGGAAGCCCUGCUGCCUCUCCGUCCCUGAGAUGUGCAUCUUUAUCAGCACUGUAACUCUGCCUCCACAGCUCUGUCAUCUCUCUUGUCACAAUGGGGCUGUUCAUCCAGGACCCUGGCUCUCUCUACUAACCACCUGCUUGUCAUAAAGACCUGGAUUCUACUUUUCAUUUGAAUGAAAGCAAGGAACAGCGGCUGAACUUCCCAGAAUUUCAGAUGACCUGGGUUGGUACAGGACAUGACGGCUGAAGAAAGAAGAGAUAUAGUUGAGGGUAUGGCACAUGGAGGAGUAGAAUUUCAUGUUUAAGACCAGCGUGGACGCAGGGAGUUCUAAGCCAUGGUGGACUACACAGAAAAGGCUUUACAACUACUAACGCUACUACUGCUGUCACCACCAACGGUAAUUACAGCCAGCCAACUGCUACCGGCACAAAAUGGAAUAAGGAGCUCCAACUUCAAAUUCCGGGAUUGGAGUGGAAGCCAGGGCCAGCUCUUGGCAUUCAAUCACAGGCUGCCUGUGUGCUCGGUCCAGCGCUUAAAGUUUGUUGAGUGAUAAAACUGUUUCUGCUGCUUUUCUGUAUUUCUGGACUUUUUUUAGAUUGUCAAGAGAUUUUACUUUUUGGCUACAAUCUGGUAAUGAGAAUUAGAGUUUGGCUUCCAGCCAAGAAAGCACCAAUUACAAAAGGCUCCUUUUCUUCCUUUCCAUUCACUGGGGACCCAGUGUGAUUAAUUCUCCAGUUUGAAAAGAGUGUGUACAGUGUCCAGAGCUCAGGACUCAAGUGACACAAAACUGAGUAUAUGCUUUACCGCUGCUGAGGUGGGACCAAGGGCAUUGUCACAGGCUUAUACAUAAACAGAGUAGAAUGUUCCAGCAACGGAAUUCUCGGGGAGUUCCCCCCUAGACACCUGGGUUUCCCCUCCUCUUUCAUCCAGGGUCUGUUCCUCACUUUUCUUCUUAGCUCCCUGCCCUGCAGUUGGCACUGCACCAGAAUCCUCACAUUCUUGAGCAGUGGACUCUAUUUUGUCCUCACCCUUGAGUUUUGUGUUUUCAUUUCAGAAAUUCCCAUGGGAAUCUAGAAAAAAAAAGAGAUGUCAAUUUCUGUAGGAAACAAGGAAAAGCUGAGUGAGAGAGAAGGACAGUGGAGCCUGCGGGGCGGCGGUGCACGUCUCUGAUUCCAGUAUGAGAGGGGCAGAGGCAGGCGGCUGGCGGUAAGUUCCAGGAUGGCCUGGUCUACAUAGCAAAUCCCAGGACAGCCAAGGCUACAUACAAUGUAAGACCUUACCAACCAACCAACCGACCGACCAACCAACCAACCACACACACAGCGAAGCCAGAAUCAGGUCAGAACGUGGGGCCGAUGAGGUCGAUACCCGAAUGAUGACUGGGAAAGACAGAGAAGCUACCAGGACUCGGCUGAAAGGGCGGACUUCUGCUCUCCUGAAAGCAGACAAGCAAACACACUGAAUUUUCACUUCUUUCUUUACCAUUAUUGAUCACAAGGUUAUUGGAGCGAUGGCAUUCAGGUGAGCUCUAUCGGUACUUUCAAUAACAACCUUCACUUAUUUCCCCAUUUAUAGUUUACUUCUAACUUUAUCUUAAUUUCCCCCAUCCUUUGAGUUUAACUUACUUUGAGUAGUUUCUGAAGGUGGAUGCUAGGCCAACGAUAUAAAGAUAACUUUAACAAUAGAGUCAAUUAGUGGUUUACAUUUCCACCUGAAUAUCACCUUUGCAGAAUGCUAUGCACAAUUAAUUCUCAACCAAAAUGCUAAUAUUUUACCCCUACAACUUGAACCUUUGCAUGGCACAAGGCCCUUGCAUAUGUGGUAAUGAAUAUGAUGCCAUGUAAUCAAAAAGACCUGUUGGUGCGCGUGGCCCAGCGGUUAAGAGCCAUGGCUGAUCUUCAAGAGAACCUGGCAACUUUCAGUAACUCCAUUUCCAGGGAAUCAAUCUCAAUAUCUGUCUCUGUCUCUGUCUCUGUCUCUGUCUCUGUCUCUGUCUCUCUCUCUCUCUCUCUCUGACACACAAACACACCACCACCACCACCACCACCACCACCACCACCACCACCACCACCACCGGCCUAUUUAAGUAGAGGAGGCAGGAGAACUGAGGGAGAUGUGAGAAGGGGCCUGGCCAGCAAGAAACAGUGGUUGAGAAGGCAGGAGAAUGGUGGUGAGGCUUGGACAGCUGUUAAACAGCAAGCAGGGAUUUAUGAACAGUAAGGAAACAAUUUUAUACAUGUGUACGUGCCAUGUGCAUGCAGGUGCCUGCAGAAAACAGAAGAGAUAAUUUGGUCCCUCUGAGCUGGAGUUACAGGCAUUUGUGGGAUGUCUGACCUCUUUCUUGUUUGGGAUCCAAACUCAGAUCUUGUGAAAGAACGGCAAGCACUCUUAACUGCUGAGCCAUUUCUCAGGCCCCAAGAGGAAACACCUGAGGUAAUAAAUAAGCCCACAAUCUGGGCAGCAGACUGCUGAGAUCACACAAGGAGAGAGUUGUUAAAAUUUACUGAAAUACGUGUAGUUGUAUAUUACGCUCUUUAGUGAUGUGGUGUGACAGUAAAACACUGCACCCAUGCAUGCUAAUGGCAUGCUCACACGUUAAAUGCUUUAUGAAAUACAGCCAUGUACACAGAAUUACUCUAUUUUUAAAGAUUUAUUUAUUUAUUUCAUGUAUAUGAAUAUACUGCAGCUGCCAGACACACAGGAGAGGGCAUCAGAUCCCAUUUCAGAUGGUUGUGAGCCGCCGUGUGGUUGCUGGGAAUUGAACUCAAGACCUCUGGAAGAGCAGUCAGUGUUCCUAACCGCUGAGCCAUCUCUCAGCCCCACAGCAUUCCUUUAAUGUAAAGAAAAAGUCUGUGCACCAAGUAAUGAGUUCUAAGACACAAGUGUUAUCUAGAACAAACAACUGUUAGUCGAGACUAGCAGUGCCCCCACCGCAGUGAACUUUGUAGUGUAGCAGUCUUGGGUGUCCCACCCACACAGUCCUCUGAUCAUCAAAGCACACAGCACAUGUGUACACUCCCAACUACAUCUGUACACUGCACAGGUUAGUUGGGAAGAUGCUUCCUUUCACCUCAUUUGUUAAGAAAAUUCCUCCUGGUGCUGGAGCUAUGGCCCUGCCCUCACAAACCUGCAAAACAGAACACCGGCAUCUCAGGCCAGGAAACCCACAAAUGCCUGCAAAUGUAGCUCUGAGGGAUCUGACACCCUCUUCUGGCCUCGGAACACUUCCAAUGUUACUCCUGAAACACAUACCAACAAAAUCAAACACAGCCCAUCCCUUUCAUGUGCUCACUUUAUUAAUUAAUGUCCUAUUUAGCUCCCCAAAAGUUAAGCUUACAUUCUAUCUUACAUGACUUUUUACACUCCUAUUCUUGCAGCUGUUUAAGGAUGUAUUUAUUAAAUUAUUGAUUAAAAAUAGUAUCAGAAAGAGGGGGCUGGGCAUGGUGGUCUAUGUCUGUAAUCUCAACACUCUGGAGGCAAAGGAAGGUAGGUUUGGGAGCUAGAGGCCAGCAGAAGUUCCAGGACAGUCAAACUACGGAGAUGUCCCCCAUCCCCCCAACCCCCAUGAGUGAUUCUUUUUCCUAUUUUUACGACUAUGAAAUAUGCCAUUUAAUUCCCUUAUGGAAUAUAUCAGCUAACUAUUAUCUCCCCUAUUGAUUCUUGUCUUGGUUUGUAUUCUUAUCUAAUAAUACUUCUGGGUAGGUAAUUAAUCUUUUGGUUUGUCUGUUUGUUUGUCUGUGUAGCCCAGCUGUCCAGGAACUCAUCACUCUGUACACCAGGCUGGCCUUGAAUUCACAGAGAUCCACCUGCCUCUCUUUCUCCAGUGCUGGGAUCAAAGGUGUGACUGGGAAAGUUAGGGGUGGCUAUGGCAGCAUUUAAAGGCUGAGGAGGACAGGUCCAAAGCCAACUCAGGCUGUGCAGAGAUCUGUUCAGAAGCCAGAAGACCACACCACCAAGGAGAGUGCUGGGUAGGUGAGUACUAUUCUGUUUUAGUUACAGACUUUGAGAACACAAAAAAAUAUUAGAAAUGAGGCAAAGCCUAGCUUGGAGAAGCCAACCAGAAGAUUCAAAAUGGGGAUGCUAUGGGGGUACAGUGGUAGAUUCCACUAGCCUUCUAGAAACAUCUGUUGUAACGGGAUUAAAACAGAAGGAGAGUGGGUUGGGGAUUUAGCUCAGUGCAAGGCCCUGGCAAGGCCCUGGGUUCGGUCCCCAGCUCCGAAAAAAAGAAAAGAAAAGAAAAAAAAAAAAAAAAAAAACAACAGAAGGAGAGGGCAUUUGAUCAAGUGUAUAACAUUUUGAUAAACUAGGAAAAUCCCUCUGAAUUAACUUUCAAGUAGACCCCUGAGUAUAUUAAUAGCUGAUGGUACACUCUGUUAGUCCCAGCACUGCGAGGCUGGGACAGGCGGAUCUCCGAGAGUUCAAAGCUAGGCUUGCUCUACAAAGCAAGUUCCAGGCCACUCAGAUUUAUAUGUGAGAUACCUGGUUCAAAAAAGAAAACAAGGGGUUGGGGACUUAGCUCAGUGGUAGAGCGCUUGCCUAGCAAGCACAAGGCCCUGGGUUCGGUCCCCACCUCUGAAAAAAAAGAAAAAAAAAAAAAGAAAGAAAACAAACAAACAAACAAAAAGUAUAUUUCCCCUAAUUUUUGUUAAUGAAUGGACGGCUUACUAUUAUGGUCCACAGAAAAGAAAAAAAAAAAAAAAAGCAAUUACAUCGGAGUGGACAAGUAGGCAUGUCUCACCAACAGGCAACUGAUGUGGGCUCCCUGAUGCUUGCCCACAGAAAUGUGGCACCUAUCUCCAAGAAUGGAAAUUCAAUAACUUUUAAAAGCCAUUUUAAAUUAUUAGUGUGUGUGUAUGAAUGCAUGUAUGCAGAGGUCAAAGGAAAGCUUUGUGGGUCUCCCUUAGCACCUUUUGGUCUCCAGCUCACACUGCUACCCCUUUACCUGCUGAGCCAUCUCACUAGCCUUUACAAAAGUAUUUUCUUUGAAUUAGAUAUCUUGUAAUUAUAACUGAAUGAGAAUUUUAAGCAAACGAGUAUUUAUGAGUAAUUUACAGGAGUCAGUUCUUACUGUAGAAAUCAUCAGAUUCUCAUUCACUCUUUUCAUCUGUUCUGACCAAAACACGGAGGAAGGUCUGGAGGUAGGUCUGUCUGUCUGUCUGAGGUUUCCUUUUCCCUCCGUUUUGUCUUGAAGCCCUGACGUGAACUUAGGGACUCGAUGACAGAGCAGGUAUUCUGUGGCACUGGCUCCUGCUUACUCCCUGAGUAUUACUUCAGAAUCUGGGAAUCCAGACAGUCCCUGGUCCUGUGCUGGCUGGCUGUCACAGCGGCCAUAUUAACUCCCAUCCUGAGCAGCUUGCCUUCCUCCUGUCCAUGGAGACAGGCCUUCUGGGUCAUCCGGUUUUUGUAAUAGAUGCGGUGAUGGAAAUGUGUGAUUUAGAUUUAUGGGAACUUGAAAAUGUCAAGAAUUUAUUGGGCGGUUUAAGUUUGCAGGAAAAUCAUUACUCAAUUUACAGAGAAAAACAAAUUGAUGAAGAGAACAAUCUAAUUUUCCUCUGAUCAAAAACUUGUUUAGGACAAUUUAUUUAUAAAGCAAAUAUAGAGAAAGGCCAAAAAAGUUAAUGUAAUUUUGACCUAGAAUAAGAAGUUUGUGGACUCACAACUCCAAGACCUCUUUACAGAAGCCGAUCUUAGAAUCUGAGUGUGCCAGGGAAGAGCUGUUUGGCACAAUGCCUUGGUGAGGACACGGGACGGCCACCAAAGGCAAGUUGGCCACCAUGCAUCCCACACACUUGACUCCACCAUGAGUAGCCAGCGCUCUACUGCCUGUCAGGUGCCACACAGACACCAGCACAGUGUAAGACUUUUACACCACAGGUUAGGCCUUCGUUCGCCUCCCUCCUCAGGCACUGAGCUCUGCUUUCCAUUCUGACUACCUUAAGUAGUCAAUUUCAGUUCUUGCCAAAGCUUGCCAUAGUCCUGAACAGUUAGUGCUCCCAUGAAAGUGACACUAUUAGGUCGCUACACUUAGGACCCCCUCCCUCUUCAGGCGCUUCAUUUCUCUGCUGAGGCACAUUGGCUGAAAAUUCAACUUCUAUUUUUUGGGUCAGCAUCAGGUCCAUUUCCUGCUCUAUUUGUACCAAAAAUGUUCCACACCUUUCAUUAUGUCCUUGCUACUCUAUACCAAGGCUUGCUUACAUGCAAGGUUCAUUGUGCCGUGAGUUUAAGCCCUUUAGUUGGAAGGGAAAGAGUUUGAUCUUAUUGAUCAAAUUUAAUAUUUACACUAGACUACAGCAGGUGCUUACUGAAAUUCCAGAACAAUCAAAAGUCCACCUAAGGGCAGGAGAUAGUUGAGACUCUGUCGCUAUGUUAGAGUUAGGACCUUUACUAAACAGAGCACAGUUCUGGAAGUAAAGGCCAGAGCUUAACUACACAUCCAUACUUCACAAUGUUGCUGUUCUGGCCUUGUGCUCCUUCCUCUGAAAUCCAGCUCCAUUUCCAUUCCCAUCUCUUCACAUUUCUUACGGGAGAAGGUGGGCCAUGGAAGGCACACAGGAGAAGAGUGUGAGUAGUGUUUGUCUGUUGGCUUGCGGCAUGUUACGUAACGUCAUCAGAGAAAUGAACUGGAAGAGCAAGCCAUCAGGCAACUCUGCCCUGAGAGAACACAGCUGACUGCAGCGAGACCAUGAGCAUGUUCGCCCAGCUCUUCAGGUAGUUUCUCAGGUGGGUUUGCACUUAACAAGCAUGUCCGCGCUCCUUUUACCAUCAAGUUGAGUGCGGUUUACUCCAAGGUAAAUGCAGUCCAGAUACAGAGGCUUGGAUCACUACAGCCCCAGCUGACAUCCAGAGAAGAGAGUGCAGCACCAACAGCCAGCUUCCCUCACCAACGCUCUCUCUCUGAGUGAGAAGGGUACCAUGAAUUCAGAAACCCAGACGGAAAACCCCUGCUCUGUCAUCUGAGUGCACACCUGGGGCCGACAAAGUGCACGCUACCGAGACAUCACCUCAAGUCAGCCUUCACAAGCACAUCAGGCCAGCAUGGAGCCCCCAGGACUACAGCUCUUCACUUGCCCUUCCCAGGAUUUUUUCCACGCCUGUCUCUAGAAAACUCUCAGAGGAAAGGCAAUUCAGUCACUUCUGGAUUCAAAGGUCUGAAGAUAACAAUACGGUAAGUGCAAAUGAACAUUCACCAAAACAAAUGAAAUCAGAUCACUGUUCAAUUUAAUUCCGGAUACUCACUCUACAAAGAGACGUGAGUAUGGGUCUAAUAACAUCACAGUCAGGCCAGCAGGAUUCUUGGGGGUUUGUGAUGGUAUAAAAUUUGGUUAUUUCCUCCUCCUGUCCUAAAUUAUGGCUGAAGAGAGAUAUCCAAAAGGGUAUUCUGAUUUAUAUAAAUACAGGAUCUGGAGCUGGGGAUUUAGCUCAGUGGUAGAGCGCUUGCCUAGUAAGCACAAGACCCUGGGUUCCGUCCCCAGCUCCGGAAAAAAAAAAAUGUUUAAAAUACAGGAUCUGGGGGCCUAACUCAGGACAGCACAUGAUGGCAUGCACAGUCCCAGGUCUGGUCCCAACACCUAGUAAAGGACACAGUCACCAGGAAGCUUGCACCCUGUCACCAGACCUUGCACACUGUCACCAGAGAAUGCCAGUGUCACUGCCAAUGGAACUGCUCAAAUGUUUCUUAAAACGGGUAGUACUAAAUUAUCAAACUAAGAAAGAAACCAUUUUCUGUAGCCAAAUAUUUGCCUGAAGGGGCCAGUGGCUCAGAAGGUAAAAGCACUUUUACCUGCUGAUUUCAGUUCAGUGCCUGAACCCACAGAGAUAAGAGCUGUCCCCCGAUCUCUCAUUCACCAUCUCUCCUCACUCUCCUUCUCACAGACAUAAUAAAAUUAAAAAUAUAUAUGUACAACUAAGAGAAUAUACACAUGUCAAGAUAUUACCCAGAACAGCUGGGUGUAAGGUAGGCGCCGUAGGAAGUCCCAUGCAUGACACUCUGGCUUCAGCCCACAGGGCCCACCCCAGCCAAAACAAAAACAAAAGCAAUAAGAAAACCCACCAAUACUCGAGACAAAUUUGUAAGGAAUUCUUAAGUUCUUCCCAUUCAUAACACUGAAGACUAUGUGAUUCAGGCUUGAAUAAAAACUGUAGGUCUGACAAGUGUUAGAAUAAUUCCAACAGUUUUUACUCUUUGACCAUUCAAAUCCUGUUCAACUAAAACAGUGUCUGCUGGCAAGUCACAAGAGGGUAAGAGCUGCUAGGCAGCGCUGUACGUCAGGAGACCCUGUGCACCACUACCUCUACCACGGAGGGUCCUACUUUCACUCUUUCUCAGGGUGCCACUUUCUAGGAUGAGCAUUACAACAUGGGUGGGGAACCAAAGGGACAGGGCACUCAGGGUCCACAUGGGGCCGCUCUGAAACCCCACCUGACUUCCUGUGAAACAACUGACUUUAACUCCUCACAUCUGUUUUUUUCAACUAUUUCUUUUUGGAAGUUUUUUUGUUUUUGGAGGGUUGGUUGGUCAUUUUGAAACAGGGUCUCACUGUAGCUCUGGUUGUCCUGGAACCCACUGUGUAGGCUUCGAACUGCCACUGCCUCUGAAAGAAUUCAAAAUAAUCCAAACUGACAUGUGUCGUUAGCAUAAGCUAGAGGUACAAGUCUCUAGUGUAUUCCUACCACAUUCCACCCUCUCUCCCUACCAACCUCUAACCCUGCCUUGUACCUUUGUUACUCCAUAAAUCCCCUAGGAAUUUCAAAUUUUGCAGACAGAAGUCUAGGGUUUCCUUAAAGGUUAUAUGAGUUGAGGAAGUCACACACAGAUGUAACUUAAGAAUCAGGCAAUAAUGGUGCAUGCCUUUAAUCCCAACACAGAGUUCUAGGCCAUCCUGGUCUACAGAGAGAGUUACAGGAUAGCCAGGGAGGGCUUCACAAAGCUCUUCUCUCAAAAAAUCAAAAACCACAAAGAAGACGAAGAAGCAGGCACAAACUAAGCAUGAGGCUCCUAUGAGCUCUCAUCGUCUCUGCGAUGGUUGGGUUGUGUGGCUGACAAAGACAACACCACAGUGCUUCAAAAGUAGCAAGACUCUUAGUCCAUGGCAGCUGUUAUAAUUCGAAGUAUCUUUUGCCCCUGUAAUACACUAGAUUUGUUGUGGGUCAUUAACAAAGUACUCAAGUGGUAGGAAAUAUCUAUAAUACCAAUGCUAGAGAGGCUGAGGCAGGAGGAUCAUGUGGACGACAAAGGGAGUUCGAGGGUAUCUUAAGAAUGAGCCCAGGAGAUGGUGGCAUACACCUUUAAUUCCAGGACUUGAGGCAGAGACUCAGGUGGAUCUCUGAAGUCUGAGGACAACUUGGUCUUCAAAAUGAAUGGGCAAUGAGACCCUGUCGUGAAAAGUCCUUCUGCCACCACUAAAGUCUUAGCAAGACAAUGCACCCAUUUGCUUAGAGCAAGAAAUAUUUAAUAAGAACAACGUGCAAGGACCACCUGUGAUCGCGUCAUCUGGGACAGUGUAGUAGUCAGGUUUUCUAGAGUCACAAAAUGUAGGGAAUGUCUCUAUAUUGAGGGAAUUCAUUGUGAUGACUUACAGUCUGUGGUCCAACUAUUCCAACAACGGACAGCUGUGGAGGGGCAGUCCAAGGAUCAGUAGUUGUUGUCCCACAAGGCUAGCUGUUUCAGCUGGUCUUCUGUAGAAGUGGGUUCCAACAGAUGUGCCGGCAAAUAAAUGCAAGCAGGCGAAGAGGAGCGAAUCUCCCUUCUUCCAAUGUCCUCAUGUAGUUCUCCAGGAGAAGGUGUGUACCACGAUGCCUGGAUCUGGGACUUGUUUUGUCCCAGGCUAAUCUUGAACUCAGAGCUCUCCUUGCCUUAGUCUCCUGGGAUUUAUAGCCACUUUGCCUCAAGAUCUCCAUGCCAAGAUCCAGGUCAGAAACUUUUAUCUCCCAGCCUUAAGAUCAGGAUCCCAGGUGAGCCCUCCAAUUCUGGAUUGUAGUUCAUUCCAGAUAUAUUCAAGUUACAACCAGGAAUAGCCAUUACAGACAGCAAGAGAGGACAAGUUCAAAGCCAGUCUUAGCACAAACUAAAAUGAAAUGAAAUAUUAAAAAUAACAAGGCAUGGUGGCACAUGCCUUUUGCCCCUGUAACAAAAACCACCAAACAAAAGGCAGAGCUUUGAAACGGUGAGGGAAAUGAGCUGAGUGCUAAACUAUGCACCAAUCAGCUUCAGAGUGAAACAUGCUGUACCCACACAAUGGUAUUCCAGGUGCCGAGUAAUCACAACAGAAAACUUUCUUAAAUUUGGAACAAGUUAAUGUGGUGUAGGCUAAAAGGCAACAUUAAGGCAGUCAUAAGCAAUUAACUGACCAAAUGGCUAUAGAGACCAGCAAAAUCAAAGCUAGGGCAAAUGGCGGAGCACAUUAAGGUCAUCCUGGGAGCCUGGGAAUUACUCUCAGGAAACAACUGCUUCUGUAUGCGUUGGACAGUGUUUUAGUGAUGAUCCCAUGGCCAUGAAGAAAACACCAUGCACAAGCAACUCUUAAAAAGGAUGACAGUCGAUUAGGGCUGGACUAGACUUUCAGUGGUUUGGUCCCUUACAGCCUGGCAGCACACAGACAUGGCGCUGGAGAAGGAAGAGUUCUAUAUCUGCAUCCUCAGGCAGAAGGGGGCCUUGUUCCAUAUUGGGUAGAGCUUGAGGAUAGGAGACCUCAAAGCCCACCUCCAUAGUGACACAUUUCCUCCAACAUGGCCACACCUCCUCCUAGUGCCACUCUACAGGAGCCAGGCACGGGAGAUGAUGGAGUCCUUACCCAUCCAAACCACCACAGAUGCAUUGAGCAACAUUUGCAUAUGGAGGAGUUCACAAGCAAAUGUUUACUGGAGAUUUGUUUACGAUGUCUGAGAAGGGGAGGGGUAAGAAGUUUGUACACAGGUCCUUGGUUCCUGAGAUGUCCUGACACGGUCAGGAAGGUUUGUUGAAUCCAUGCUUCAUGAACAUACGUGUACAUCAAAGUCAGAAAGGAUGAAUAGGGAGCUGGGUAGGGCAGAGCGCAAGGGCCUCCAGAGGAGGGCUCAACCAUGGCAGGACAUACAAGGACUGGAUGACAUGCACCGGAAGAGGCACUGAGUACUUCUCCAACACAGACUUCUCCUGGGCAGGAAGCAGCACAAGGACUGCAGCUGUCUUCCUGCCUCAUCCAUUCUCUGUACUGAUGUCACUGGUUUAAUCCUCAGCAGCUACUUGGUUAAGAGCACUGACUGCUUUUCCAGAGGUACCGAGUCCAAUUUUCAGCACCCACCUGGUGACUCACAGCCAUCUGUAAUGAGAUCCGAUGCCCUCUUCUGGUGUGUCUGAAGACAGCAACUGUGUACUCAAUCUUGCAAAGAAAAGGUUCUCAGCAUCAGGGGUGGGAUGGGGUGGAACUAGUAUCAGUAAGACCUACUUAGGUGCAGAAUGUGUGGGAACUGUAGAAUAUCGGGUAGCCAAUCAUGGUGUUACUCCAGCAAACUGUUUCCUAAACUGCCAAGCUACAGUUCCUCUAACCAGAUUCACACGACCAAAUCAUCUUUUAGGAGUAAACGGUACAGUGACUUGUACUGUAGUCACGGUAUUUAGAAAACAUUACUACCUUCAGAACAUUUCAUAACCUCCAAAGAAAACUCUCCACACUAGAGUUCCACUGCACUUUCUUCCGAUGUUUCCUAAAAACACAGGCAGGAGUUUUGAGAUUUUCACUUAGUGUGUUUCCAAGGUUUAUCGGCAGGUUCGUCAUUUCAGGACUGAAUAGACAAUUCCCAGUGCCACAGCGCACUGUCUAAGCACAGCAGAUGUCAGCUAACAUGUCUACCAUGGUGGUAAAUGGCACACUGUACAAAAGCCUUUCAAAGUCACAAUCCCACAGGGACUAUUCUAAAAAACUGUUCACUUCUUUAUGCCAAAUUAAGAUUUCUCAGGAGCCAGUCCUGGUCCUUGUGUGUGCAACAACUUUAAUCCAAUACUUGGGAGGCAGAGGCAGGAGGAUCUCAGCGUUCAAAGCCAGCCUGGGCUACAGAGCAGUGAACUAAGCCAACUAAGGCUACAAAGUGAGACAGUCUCAAUGCAUCUCCAACUUCUUUUCUCAAAGACUUUACCUAUGAGCACUCUGUCUGCAUGUACACCUGCAUGCCAGAAGAGGGCAUCAGAUCACAUUACGUGUUAACUACUGUGUGGGUGCUGAGAAUUGAACUCAGGACCUCUGGAAGAGCAGUCAGUGCUUUUAACCACUGAGCCAUCUCUCUAGUCCCAGUUUUGUUUUGUACAAAAGACAGACAGUACUACUCAACUACUGACAGAAUGAUCAGUAGACAAACAUCAAGAAGUUACACACAGUAUAAAAAGAAUCCUAUUUAAAUUACUAGAACACAUGGCACAGGCAUGAGAACUGAUCUGUUCUCUCGAUAACUUCUUGGGUUUAGUCAAUUACAUGAGAAGCCAUAUUUAAUCACAGAGCACAUGGGCUGGAGAGAUGGCUCCGUGGUUAAGAGCACUGACUGCUCUUCCAGAGGUCCUGAGUUCAAAUCCCAGCAACCACAUGGUGGCUCACAACCAUCUGUAAUGGGAUCCGAUGCCCUCUUCUGGUGUGUCUGAAGACAGCUACAGUGUACUUAUAUAUAAUAAAAAAAUCAGAGCACAUACACACCACCACAGGUCUUUAUGUGCGAGCUAGUUUUAUGUCAACCUAAUACAAGCUACGCUUUUGGGAAGAGGACCUUAACUGAGAAGAUGCUUCUAUCCGAAGCCUGUGGGGCAUUUUCUUGAUGACUGAUGCAGGGCGGCAGCAGUGACUUCACUCCAUGCAGGUUGGUUUGUAGUGGGUACAGGAGAGCAAAAAAACGAAACGGGGGGGCGGGGGGGAGCAAAAAACUAAAGCCACAAGGAAGUUAGUAGGCAGCUGUCCUCCCUGAACCUCCGUAUGUCUGCCCCGACUUCCCUGAAUGAUGGACUAUGACCUGUUACAUGAAAUAAACCCACAAAGUUGCAAUUUUCUAGUGAUGUUUGUCAAAGCAAUAGAAGUCUACUUAGGCCCUUCACGCUAGGUCCAUUUGUGUAGGAGAGGAGGAAGUCAGAGAACCAUCUAAAAACCCCGGAAGCUCAGAGUAGGAGUGGAGUGGCAGGGAUAUUAAAUAAGACUAUAUCAUUACAA